rnacentral:tmRNA from 1 species
GGGGAUGUAAAGGUUUCGACAGGGAGAGAGAAGCCGAAGCAGCGGGUAGUGGUGGGGCCACCACUAUAAAAGGCUCCAAAAAAAUAGCUAACAAUAAUAAAUUAGCAGUCGCUGCCUAAUUAAGGCAGCUGUCCGACCCGGCUUUCCGCGCGCCGGGACCCGGGCAUCAAUUUAGCGGAGCACGUGAACGGACUUAAGCUUUGCGGACCGUCAUGAACUAAUGAAGCUACUAAACUGUGCAGCCUGCCAGAUGGCGGCACAGCAAGGGAAUGCAAACGUCUGGCUGCACCCGGAGACACUUUAGUGGAUUUCUUUUUGGACACGAGUUCGAUUCUCGUCAUCUCCACCA